GGUAUACUAAUAUAACAUGUCGGUGGCUACCCCCAGCGGGGUACCAUCAUCGUGUUGUUAGGUUAUGUCCUUUGCUUUUUUUUUAUUAUUUAUUUCUUUAAAUUUUUACAAUUUGUCCAGUAGGACAUUUGGUAAAAUAUUAUAGCGGUAUACUAAUAUAACAUGUCGGUGGCUACCCCCAGCGGGGUACCAUCAUCGUGUUGUUAGGUUAUGUCCUUUGCUUUUUUUUUAUUAUUUAUUUCUUUAAAUUUUUACAAUUUGUCCAGUAGGACAUUUGGUAAAAUAUUAUAGCGGUAUACUAAUAUAACAUGUCGGUGGCUACCCCCAGCGGGGUACCAUCAUCGUGUUGUUAGGUUAUGUCCUUUGCUUUUUUUUUUAUUAUUUAUUUCUUUAAAUUUUUACAAUUUGUCCAGUAGGACAUUUGGUAAAAUAUUAUAGCGGUAUACUAAUAUAACAUGUCGGUGGCUACCCCCAGCGGGGUACCAUCAUCGUGUUUGUUAGGUUAUGUCCUUUGUUUUUGUUUUUUUUUAAUUAUUUAUUUAUUUAAAUUUUUACAAUUUGUCCAGUAGGACAUUUGGUAAAAUAUUAUAGCGGUAUACUAAUAUAACAUGUCGGUGGCUACUCCCAGCGGGGUACUAUCAUCGUGUUGUUAGGUUAUGUCCUUUGCUUUUUUUUUAUUAUUUAUUUCUUUAAAUUUUUACAAUUUGUCCAGUAGGACAUUUGGUAAAAUAUUAUAGCGGUAUACUAAUAUAACA